AAAACUUUCAACAACGGAUCUCUUGGUUCCGGCAUCGAUGAAGAACGCAGCGAAAUGCGAUAACUAAUGUGAAUUGCAGAAUUCAGUGAAUCAUCGAGUCUUUGAACGCACAU
rnacentral:rRNA from 1 species